rnacentral:hammerhead_ribozyme from 1 species
AUCCAGCUGAUGAGUCCCGAACAGAGCAAAAUGCACGUUCUGGAU